rnacentral:tRNA from 3 species
GCGGAUAUGGCGGAAUUGGCAGACGCGCAGGAUUUAGGUUCCUGUACCGUAAGGUGUAAGGGUUCAAGUCCCUCUAUCCGCA